AAACUUGCCUGAAGUCAGGUUCAGGAUGAUCAGAAAUGCUCUGACCCCGGGUGGAGGCCCACCAUUUUAUCUCGGUGAGUUGAAACUCGUGACGAAUCCUAAUCAAGUGUACCCAUGUGUGUAAUUUUUUGUUAC
rnacentral:snRNA from 13 species